rnacentral:rRNA from 1 species
UACGUAGGGUGCAAGCGUUAAUCGGAAUUACUGGGCGUAAAGCGUGCGCAGGCGGUUAUGCAAGACAGGGGUGAAAUCCCCGGGCUUAACCUGGGAACUGCGCUUGUAACUGGCAAGCUAGAGUGUGGCAGAGGGGGGUGGAAUUCCACGUGUAGCAGUGAAAUGCGUAGAUAUGUGGAGGAACACCGAUGGCGAAGGCAGCCCCCUGGGCUAACACUGACGCUCAUGCACGAAAGCGUGGGGAGCAAACAGG